rnacentral:rRNA from 1 species
GCAGUCGAACGAUGAUGCCCAGCUUGCUGGGUGGAUUAGUGGCGAACGGGUGAGUAACACGUGAGUAACCUGCCCCUGACUCUGGGAUAAGCGUUGGAAACGACGUCUAAUACUGGAUAUGAUCACUGGCCGCAUGGUCUGGUGGUGGAAAGAUUUUUUGGUUGGGGAUGGACUCGCGGCCUAUCAGCUUGUUGGUGAGGUAAUGGCUCACCAAGGCGACGACGGGUAGCCGGCCUGAGAGGGUGACCGGCCACACUGGGACUGAGACACGGCCCAGACUCCUACGGGAGGCAGCAGUGGGGAAUAUUGCACAAUGGGCGAAAGCCUGAUGCAGCAACGCCGCGUGGGGGAUGACGGCCUUCGGGUUGUAAACCUCUUUUAGUAGGGAAGAAGCGAAAGUGACGGUACCUGCAGAAAAAGCACCGGCUAACUACGUGCCAGCAGCCGCGGUAAUACGUAGGGUGCAAGCGUUGUCCGGAAUUAUUGGGCGUAAAGAGCUCGUAGGCGGUUUGUCGCGUCUGCUGUGAAAUCCCGAGGCUCAACCUCGGGCUUGCAGUGGGUACGGGCAGACUAGAGUGCGGUAGGGGAGAUUGGAAUUCCUGGUGUAGCGGUGGAAUGCGCAGAUAUCAGGAGGAACACCGAUGGCGAAGGCAGAUCUCUGGGCCGUAACUGACGCUGAGGAGCGAAAGCAUGGGGAGCGAACAGGAUUAGAUACCCUGGUAGUCCAUGCCGUAAACGUUGGGCGCUAGAUGUAGGGACCUUUCCACGGUUUCUGUGUCGUAGCUAACGCAUUAAGCGCCCCGCCUGGGGAGUACGGCCGCAAGGCUAAAACUCAAAGGAAUUGACGGGGGCCCGCACAAGCGGCGGAGCAUGCGGAUUAAUUCGAUGCAACGCGAAGAACCUUACCAAGGCUUGACAUACACCGGAAACGGCCAGAGAUGGUCGCCCCCUUGUGGUCGGUGUACAGGUGGUGCAUGGUUGUCGUCAGCUCGUGUCGUGAGAUGUUGGGUUAAGUCCCGCAACGAGCGCAACCCUCGUUCUAUGUUGCCAGCGGGUUAUGCCGGGGACUCAUAGGAGACUGCCGGGGUCAACUCGGAGGAAGGUGGGGAUGACGUCAAAUCAUCAUGCCCCUUAUGUCUUGGGCUUCACGCAUGCUACAAUGGCCGGUACAAAGGGCUGCGAUACCGUAAGGUGGAGCGAAUCCCAAAAAGCCGGUCUCAGUUCGGAUUGAGGUCUGCAACUCGACCUCAUGAAGUCGGAGUCGCUAGUAAUCGCAGAUCAGCAACGCUGCGGUGAAUACGUUCCCGGGCCUUGUACACACCGCCCGUCAAGUCAUGAAAGUCGGUAACACCCGAAGCCGGUG